GACGAACCGUGCGAACGUUGUUCGGAUUCACUGGGCUUAAAGGGCGCGUAGGCGGGCUGCCAAGUCUGGGGUGAAAUCCCACGGCUCAACCGUGGAACUGCCUCGGAUACUGGCGGUCUCGAGGGAGGUAGGGGCAUGCGGAACUGUGGGUGGAGCGGUGAAAUGCGUUGAUAUCCACAGGAACUCCGGUGGCGAAAGCGGCGUGCUGGACCUCUUCUGACGCUGAGGAGCGAAAGCGUGGGGAGCGAACAGG
rnacentral:rRNA from 1 species